rnacentral:rRNA from 1 species
CUACGGGGUGCUCCAGUCGAGAAUAGUCUACAAUGGACGAAAGUCUGAUAGUGCGACGCCGCGUGGAUGAAGAAGCAUUUCGGUGUGUAAAGUCCUUUUCUGUGUGAGCAAUGUUUUCCAGGUUAAUAGCUUGGAGAAAGCGAUAUUAACACAGGAAUAAGCUCCGGCUAACUCCGUGCCAGCAGCCGCGGUAACACGGGGGGAGCAAGCGUUGUCCGGAAUUACUAGGCGUAAAGGGUGAGUAGGCGGAAUUGUAAGUCAGAUGUUAAAGGCACCGGCGCAACCGGUGUAUGGCAUUUGAUACUGUAAUUCUAGAGUAAGGUGGGGGAAGACGGAAUUCCUGGUGUAGCGGUGGAAUGCGCAGAUAUCAGGAGGAACACCAGAGGCGCAGGCGGUCUUCUAUACCAUUACUGACGCUCAAUUACGAAGGUGUGGGUAUCAAACAGGAUUAGAUACCCCGGUAGUC